ACCUCAGCUCAAGCAAGAAAACCCGCUGAACUUAAGCAUAUCAAUAAGCGGAGGAAAAGAAACUAACAAGGAUUCCCCUAGUAACGGCGAGUGAAGAGGGAAAAGCUCAAAUUUUAAAUCUACCUGGUUCCCAGGUCGAAUUGUAUUUUGAAGAAUCGAAUAUCGGUGUUGAGGUCUGGUUCAAGUUCUUUGGAACAAGACAUCAUGGAGGGUGAGAAUCCCGUGCAUGAUCAGACCAAGAUACUUUAUAUUCGUUUUCUAAGAGUCGAGUUGUUUGGGAAUGCAGCUCAAAUUGGGUGGUAGACUUCACCUAAGGCUAAAUAUCAGCGAGAGACCGAUAGCGAACAAGUACUGUGAAGGAAAGAUGAAAAGCACUUUGAAAAGAGAGUUAAAUAGUACGUGAAAUUGUUGAAAGGGAAACGAUUGAAGUCAGUCAUGCUAGUGAAAAUUCAGUUUGACGGGUUUUGGGUUUAGGAGUAAGAGAUAGGAUCAAACCAUCUCUCUUUUAAACUUGGGAUUUGUCGGAUGCACUUUUUCUUUGGCAGGUCAGCGUCGAUUUCGGGGGUUGUAAAAUACUUGGGGGAAAGUAGCUCUGCUUCGGGAGAGUGUUAUAGACCUUGGGAGAUGCAGCCCGUGGGAUCGAGGAUUGCAGCAAAUGCCUUUGGCUUGUCUUCUGAUCUUUGAUUGUUACCUCGUUUAUGACAACAUUCUUGCCAUCGAUGAGUACUAGUGGUUAUGGGUUAGAAUGAUCAAAAAUUUGCUAAGGAUGCUGACGUAAUGGCUUUAAACGACCCGUCUUGAAACACGGACCAAGGAGUCUAACAUAUAUGCGAGUGUUC
rnacentral:rRNA from 1 species